UACGUAGGGUGCGAGCGUUAAUCGGAAUUACUGGGCGUAAAGCGUGCGCAGGCGGUUCGUUAAGUUCGUCGUGAAAGCCCCGGGCUCAACCUGGGAAUGGCGAUGGAAACUGGCGGGCUGGAGUAUGGCAGAGGGGGGUGGAAUUCCAGGUGUAGCGGUGAAAUGCGUAGAUAUCAGGAGGAACACCGGUGGCGAAGGCGGCUUCCUGGACCACAACUGACGCUGAGGCGCGAAAGCUAGGGGAGCAAACAGG
rnacentral:rRNA from 1 species